GCGGGCGGGCGGAUGCCGGCGCGGCCGUCCUGCACGGGGGGGGGGGGACGCGCUCCGGUGCGGGCCUGUCCGCCCGGCACGGACACGCGGCGUCUUCCGUGGGCCUGUCGUGCUGCCACGGUCGCAGCCCGUGCCGUCCUGCACGUCCCAGCCGCCAGCGCUCGCUGCCCGUCCUCGUCCCCUGAGCCCGUGUGCCCGACACGGGAGAGGAGACCCGCCUAACCCAGGCCUGUGUGCUGCUGCAGCCUCCCUGACCCGGAGCAGACCUGGGAGCUGUCGGCCACACGCUGCUCAGGCUGGUGGCCCGGACGAGGCUCGGUCCCCGGGGCAGGGAAGGGGGCGUCCUCACCACCCACCAGCAGACAGUGCUUAGGCACCGUUUAAGCACAACUAACCCUUAAAGAGAACGUGAAACACAAACACAGACAAUUCAAGCGUCCUAAACUCAAAGUUUAACUGUAUUUGUACAACAGGUAUUAUCUCAGUGGUUUCUCUAUUCAGAGAGACUAAACGCUGAGUACAAUGUCUCGCCCAAUCCCAGGUGUUACUUUGUUUCACAGAAAAGACAGCUACUCAGUUCCUGAAGCAAAGGGUACGUCCUUGGCUGGGAUGAUCCAGACUGGUGCUGAAAGGUGGAUUAAUGAUGAAAAUGAUGACGAGGACGACGACACACUUAACUUCCUUUUUUCCCCCUUCUACGCUUUUCUUUAACUUGACUCCUUGGAUGACUCCUGGCUUUUGGAUUGGUCUCUCUGCAGUCAGCAUAUUCAUUGUGCAUUGGUCUCCUUCACCACGUUUGAAUAACAUACCCAGUCAUUUCAUCGCUCUGGUUCAGCUGGUUAGUGCCAAGUUCAGAUAAUAUGAGCUAGUAACAAACCUGUUACUACUUUGUGUUAGAAAACCUUCUCGCACUGAUGGAAACAGGAAAGAAACAGCAUGCGAGCAUCCUCAAGGCCAUAAGCUGCUUGCAAGAAACAAGGCCAGCUGAUACUGCAAACGGCAGCAAAAUGAAAAAUUCAAAUAACAGUGAAGCUAUUCAGAACUUUAGGCUGAAUAUAAAAGACAACUUUAAACAAUGCUAUAAUUCACCACUCUAUUAAAAGGUGCAACUUUAAGGCAUAAAAUACAACAAGCCACCCUAACAGGGGGUCGUUCUCUGCUUCCCAGCAGCAAAA